rnacentral:rRNA from 1 species
UGAGGAACAUGACUUUCGGCGGGGGAUAGCCGGCCCAACGGCCGGGUAAUACCGCGUACGACCUUUUGGGGACAUCCCCGAUUGGUGAAAGCAGCAAUGCGCCGAAAGAGUGCCUCGCGGCCUAUCAGCUAGUUGGUGGGUAAUGGCUCACCAAGGCGACGACGGGUANCUGGUCUGAGAGGAUGGCCAGCCACAGUUGGGACUGAGACACGGCCCAGACCUCCGUACGGGAGCAGC